AAGUCGUAACAAGGUUUCCGUAGGUGAACCUGCGGAAGGAUCAUUAUUGAAUAAACUUGGCUUGCUGAUGCUGGUCUCUCUGGAGGCAUGUGCUCGCUGGUCAUCUUUACUUCUCCACCUGUGCACCCACUGUAGAACUGGGAUUUGGGACUGCUGUGCUUAUUUGCCGGCUUUCCUUGCUUCCCUCCAGUCCUACGUUUUUUUCUUCACAUACACCUAUGAAAUGUAACAGAAUGUAUCACUAGGUCUUUGAACCUAUAAAACAAAUAUACAACUUUCAGCAACGGAUCUCUUGGCUCUC
rnacentral:misc_RNA from 1 species